rnacentral:lncRNA from 1 species
GCUCUCACUGCAGCCGUUUCUUCACAGGGUGAUCCUCACAGAAACACUCAAAGCCUUCUGUUACGUACAAAGGACCGCGUGUCAGUAAUCUACAGCCAUUUACCAGUUACCAAGAAAACACGGACGUUUCCACUAAAAAUCGCAAACGUUUCUUUCAAGCAAGGAGCGCCCUGCGCCAGAGGCUGUGGGAGGAGUGAGGAGUCUGGGUUCGUUCCAGCCGCAGUGAGUAAGGCGUGGGUGACUCCGAGCAUUGCAGAGGCAUGAGGAAACGAAAACAAAACCUGCCGAAGUGGGGCCUUACUGACUUAUCUUCCACUGUGAAAUAAAUAAAAUAAUGUUUUUCUUUCAAAGAUGUGGAACAAAUCCAUGCAGUUUGCUGUGGUUGUUUUAAAACAAACUAGAAUUUUAAAAACAUUUUGGAAUAGCUAAGUUGACCAUCUUGUCUCCAUAAAUGGAGAAAAAUAUUUUGCUCUUCAAAAGACAGCAUUAGGAAACAAUAAGUAGACCACAGAAUGGGAGAAAAUAUUUACAAUAUUAUAUCAGCCAAAAGACGUGUGUUAAGAUAAUAUUUAAAAAAACACAGUUUAUAAUAAAAAGCAAUAAAAAAUGAGCAAAAUAUUUGACUAGGCACUUUAAGAAAGAAGACACAUAUAUGACAAUAUGAAAGAAAAAAUUUCUCAGUAUUAUUCCUCAUUAGGAAAAUGCAAAUUAAAACCAAAACGAGAUGUCUCUACACAUUCACUAGAACAAUAUCAAUAACUUAAACAUAUUGACAAUACCAAACGUUGACAAGGAUGUGGUUCAGUGGAAACUUUUAAAUUCUGCUGACAGAGUGUAAAACGGUAUAGUUUGGAAAUAUGUUCGGGAGUUUCUGAAAAAGUUAAACAUACAUUUACUCAUGUCUAAGCAAUUCAACUUCUAGGUACUUAUCUAUGAGAAAUGAAUAUACAUGUCCACAAACACCUUUGUAAACCAAAAAGUAUCUGAGACAAGUCUCAAUAAAUUUAGAAAGUUAUUUUGCCAAGGUUGAGGACGUGCCGUGACACAGCCUCAGGAGGUCCUGGUGAUGGUGGUCGGGGAACAGCUUGGUUUUAUACAUUUUAGGGAGACAUGAGACAUCAAUCAUUAUAUGUAUGAUGUACAUUGGUUCUAUCUGGAAAGACAGGACAAGUCAAAGCGCGCAGGGGGCUUCCAGGUUGUAGGUAGAUAAGAGACAAAUGGCUGCAUUCUUUUAAGUUUCUGAUUAGCCUUUCACCGAAUGCACAAUUUACUGGAAUAGUUACGUAUGCCUUAGUCUGGCUGGGUGAAACAACAGGGCGGAGGAAGCAUUCCGAUCUGUGUUUGUCUCAUGUGAGCGGAGGGAUGAUUGAGUUCUGUCUGUCCUUGUUCCACAAGGAAGUUCCUUGUGAGCAAAUUGUGAGGGAGGAACAGCGUUUUUAUCUUUGUAGCUAUCUUAUUUAGGAAUAGGAUGGGAGGCAGCUCCCAGCUUGACUUUCCCCUUUGUUUAGUGAUUGAUUUAUUUUCCUUUCAUACCUAAUAUGAGACUGUUCAUAGGAGCUUCAUUCACAGCAGGCGGAAGCACUCAUCUGGUGUCUAUCCAGUGUGGAUAGAUGGUGGUGUUCCAUGCAGUAGAAUUUUCCUCAGCAACACCAAGGAGCAAACCGCUGAUCCUAGCAGAGACACGCUGGAUCUCGGGACCGCUACGCUGAGUGGAAGACACCAGAUGGAAAAGGGUGCCUGCUCUGUGACCCAGAUUCUAUGAAGUCUCUAGACUCACUCAAACCACCUCUGACUAAAGAAGCCAGACCCAGUGUACUCUGGGGCCUGCCUGGAUGGGGCAGAGACGUUCUGUGGGGUGAUGGGUGAGCUCUGUCAUCCUGGGGGGCUCCCUGAGCACGUGCCAUGUAUGUGAAUGAUAUCUCAAUACAUUUCCCUUAAACGGGAGAGGCACACCCUGUCUGCACAUUUCCAGCAGUGGUGGUUGGGUGAGGGCCGUGACAGGCAGCUCAGCUGUAGAACUGUGGCCUCGCUCCUGUGCAAUUCCGUUCAUUUACUCAUUCAACAGUAUCUUUAGAGCAGCCACUGAGUUCCAGGCUCCGUCUGGCACUUGGGAAGCAGCAGUGAACAAAGGAAUGAAACCCGGAGCUGGCAUUCCCGCGAGUCUGCAGAGGCAGCUUCCUCCAGGGCUCCCUGCUGCCUGGGGCUGCAGCCUCCUCUCUCCAGGGGAUUUGGCACCACCAAAGCUCCCCGCUGGCAGCUGUCGGACUCCUUCAUGCAGAGCAGAGCGGUGCCCAUGACGCUGUUGCUCCCCAGUCUUCGUAAUGAUGAUGUAGUUUCCUUAAAGUCCUAGACUCAAAAGUGGGAAAGGGUCAGAGGCCAUAUCUCUAAUUUCAUUGGUAUAAUUGCAAAAGAAUAGAUUUUGGUGAGUGUGACUUCUGGAAGAAAGGUAAUAAAUUAAAAUAUACAAAGAAAAUUUUAAAAUAUUGAGUAAUUAUUCACCCCAAAUAGUCAAGCACCAUAUUAAGCUUCUUAAAUUAUGGUGCUGGCUUCUUUCUCGCUCUGUUGCUCAAAUAUUGUGGUAGUUUAGUGUGCAUGGGCUCUCCCUUCUGUAUUUCUCGUCAGAAGGCCUAGUUAGUUUCCACGAUGGUUAUGGACAUACGCUUUGGUGUGACUGUGUUCCCUGCAUUCGGAAAUGCCUUCCUAGGUCGGGAUGCUCACCUUCCACCACAUGCUCCCCAGGACCUUGCUCCUCCUGCCGGAUUUGAAAACUGGUCCGCAUCCCUCUCCUAUCCUUCUUUCUCAUAGCUUCUGCCUUUGACACUAAGAGGGUGGCCAAAUGACCUCCAGGCAAGAGAUGGUGGGGCUGGGGCAGGCAGGGGAAAGGACUGCAGUCCCGGUGCCCACACGGCUGCUCAGGCAGGCCCCAGGAUGAGCCUGCAGAGUCAGCAUGCUAAGGCCCUCUGCUUGCCUAGGGUCGACGUGUUCCCCUUCCCACGUUGGAGGCAUGUGAUCCUGUCUGCUGCACUAUGUGAAAGAAAACACCACUCGUUGCACAAUUUUCCUUUGUCUCCAUAGAUUCAAACUUUGUGAGAUAUCUCAGGAAUUCCCCUGGAGUUUGUACAAAAUCUUUGCAUAUAUUAUCAUUUACCUUAGGUGAAAACAUUUGAAAUCAACUAUUUCAAGGACUGGGAAUAGAGGAGAGAGGUGAAUGAGUGGCUCUUACUCAUUGGAAAGUUAAUGCCAUUCAGAAUGUAGUAAUCCAUUUAGAGGGCAUAAAUCUGAAUACGUGCUCUGUAGGCUACAUUCUAUAUGGCAGAGUUUUCAUCCCAGACAUCCAUUGCUCAUAUUGCCAAAAAACCAUGACUGGAGAGAAACUGUCAGCCUUUGAAACAAUACACGUCGUAGGCAAGUUUUUUGACUAAACGUAGAAAAUAUGACCUAUGUUUUAGUUCUUAUAUGCCAGCUAGUGAUAAUUUUUGGUGUGGGCUGUGAUAUGAUAAGGAAACAGAAAGGGUGGAAGAGAUUUUGGAGGGGGAGUUAGAGGCUGCAUGCACUCUUGCCGUGAUAAUGUUGGUGGCUUUGCACAAGGGUGGGCCGGGCUCUGCUCUGGACAUGGGUUAGAGCCCUGCAGGUGUCUCCUCACUGUGGGACAAGUGCCCACCUGGAUCGGUUCUGCUUAUGGCAGAGGACAAAAGUGCAGGAUGCCAGCAAACUGCAAGCCCAUCUGUAGGCUCUCCCAGUGUCUGCUGUAGUCCAGAGUAGGCCACACGGCCACGUGCAGGUCGGUGAAUGGGAUGAAGGGGAAUGUUCACCUCUUCUCACCAGGGGCACAGCCAAGUCACUCGGCAAAGGGCUCAGGACACAGGUGCAAGGAAGUGUAUAUUAGGAGCAGCAGUGCAGCCGCCACCGGCUUCCGACAGCUAUUUCGGGCUUCUGUGUAUUGUGGCACUCAGCUGAGUACAGGUGUGUGCCUUGCACAUCAUACUCCUUCUCUUUAUGCACCUCAACUGUAUCUGCACAAUAGUAAAAAAAUAUAUAUAUAUACAUACACACACACACACACACACACACACAUAGAGACAGAGACAGAGGGAGAGAGAGAGAGAGAGAGAAAAUCAACAACAGCAAAAACAGCACAGCAACCAUACUCCCUGUCCCAAAUGGUGGUGAUAAGAAAAAAGGAAAAAAAUGGCCUAAACGCUACUAUGAAUGAUAAAAGAAAUGAUCCCACCAAUUGCCCGAUAGAAAACACAUGUAAAAUAUGGCCAGGCACGGUGGCUCACGCCUGUAAUCUCAGCACUUCGGGAGGCUGAGGCAGGCAGAUCACCUGAGGUCAGGAGUUUGAAAACAUACAUGUAAAAUAUUAGUAUAUUAUAAAAUCUUAUGCACUUCAACAUUAUUAAUAGUAUAACAAAAUAGCAUUCUUGUAUUGAGAGAUGUUUGACCUAGGGAAAUAUUCAAGAGUAGAUUUAGUAUAAAUUCUAAAGUACUAAUAGAGUUUUAGUUAGGAACCCCUUACUGUUGUAUCAUUUUUGGUGAGGGAAGUAAGUAUAAAAUCCAACUCAUUGACUUCCCAACUCUGACCCAGAAAUUGAUUUAAAAAGUUUUUAUUGCAGAUGAAUUAUUCUGUAUAUAGACAUUAGUGAUUGUUAAUAGCCCCAGUUAGAAUCCCUGAAGAGACAUUCUUGGAAGAAAAUAAUUUGUCCUGAAGGAAGUACCAAAACAAACAAGUAAAUAUCCAAAGUAGUACUUGAAUACUUGAGACAAAUGAGAUUGAUGGAAACCCCACCUGUGUCGGUCCACCCACCCUGUGGAUGAAGUCAGAGGAGGUGUGAUGGCCUCCACUUGAGAGUUUGUUCUGAAAAUCCCUAGACUCCAAUAUUGCACAGUAGUAAUCACAGAGUCUCCUUAUGUAAAAACAAAACAACACAGAAUUACUUGUAAAUUGGACUUCCAUGCUCAAUGAUGGGUUGUUGAAAUCCAAGUCGUUAUUGCUUUGUCCAGUUUUAGCUUCAAGAGAAGAAAUGGAAUCUGAAGACCACCCAGAGAUUUCCCACUAAAAUGCCUGAUGACCCCAGGAA